UCAUAAUCAAACCACAACAAAAAUGGCAUUUUUCAUUUUUCUCACCAUCUUUUCCAUGUCACUGACUCUUUCUGUUCAAGAUUCCAGUCAAGUGACUGUGACUGUGACUCAAAGCCCUUCGAAGAAGACUCUUGAAUCAGGACAAUCAGUUACAAUAGCAUGUAAAACCAGUCUUGAUGUUGGUAACUGGUGCGGUGAUAAAUAUUGUCUUAGUUGGUACCUCAAGAAACCGGGAGAUGCUCCUAAACUGCUCAUCUAUCAUGGAGAUAUCCGAUAUUCUUCCACCCCAUCUCGAUUUAGUGGAAGUGGAUCUAGUAAAAAUUUCCAGCUGGUCAUCAGUGGAGCCCGUAAUGAAGAUAGUGGAGAUUAUUAUUGCUUUGGUGACUUAGGUGGCCACAGAUUCACACAGUGAUAAAGACCCAUACAAAAACCUUCUUCAAGAACCUGUUGAUCAACUGCAGACACUGUGAGAGGAAGUGAAACAUCAGUGGUGAAGCAAACAAACUUCAUGUUUCAGU